GACGAACGCUGGCGGCGCGCUUAACACAUGCAAGUCGAGCGAAGCGGCGGACGGGUGAGUAACACGUGAGUAACCUGCCUUAGAAAUUGGGAUAGCCUCGGGAAAACGGGAUUAAUACAAAAUGGUCUAAGAGGGACUCGCGGCCCAUUAGCUAGUUGGUGGGUAACGGCCCACCAAGGCGACGAUGGGUAGCCGGCCUGGGAGGGUGAACGGCUCCCGUGGAACUGAGAAACGUUCCAAACUCUACGGGAGGCAGCAGUGGGGAAUAUUGCACAAUGGAGUGAACUCUGGUGCAGCGACGCCUCGUGAACGAAUAAGGCUUUCGAGUCGUAAAGUUCUUUUAUAUGGGAAGCGGUACCAUAAGAAAAAGCCCCGGCUAACUACGUGCCAGCCGCCGCGGUAAUAC
rnacentral:rRNA from 1 species